UGUUAUGUAGCACUACACAUGCCAGAA
rnacentral:piRNA from 1 species